UUUCCGUAGGUGAACCUGCGGAAGGAUCAUUAUUAUAUAACCGAGGUGCGAGGGCUGUCGCUGACCCGAAAGGUCGUGCACGCCCGAGUGCCCUCACACACAUCCAUCUCACCCCUAUGUGCACCACCGCGUGGGUCACCCUUUGGCUUGUUCGGAGGGGGGCUUACGUUUUCACACAAACUUUGUAUGCAGUGUAGAAUGUAUUUUUUGUUUUUGCGAUCACGCAAUCAAUACAACUUUCAACAACGGAUCUCUUGGCUCUC
rnacentral:misc_RNA from 1 species